AUUGAACGCUGGCGGCAUGCCUUACACAUGCAAGUCGAACGGCAGCACGGACUUCGGUCUGGUGGCGAGUGGCGAACGGGUGAGUAAUAUAUCGGAACAUACCUUGUAGUGGGGGAUAACUAUCCGAAAGGAUAGCUAAUACCGCAUACGCUCUAAGGAGGAAAGCGGGGGAUCGUAAGACCUCGUGCUAUAAGAGUGGCCGAUAUCUGAUUAGCUAGUUGGUGAGGUAAAGGCUCACCAAGGCGACGAUCAGUGGCUGGUCUGAGAGGACGGCAAGCAACACUGGAACUGAGACACGGUCCAGACUCCUACGGGAGGCAGCAGUGGGGAAUUUUGGACAAUGGGGGCAACCCUGAUCCAGCAAUGCCGCGUGAGUGAAGAAGGCCUUCGGGUUGUAAAGCUCUUUUGUCAGGGAAGAAACGGUUGUGGCUAAUAUCCAUGGCUAAUGACGGUACCUGAAGAAUAAGCACCGGCUAACUACGUGCCAGCCGCCGCGGUAA
rnacentral:rRNA from 1 species